rnacentral:snRNA from 1 species
GCUGAAGCAAUAACCAGGGU